rnacentral:rRNA from 1 species
CAGUAGCCGCGGGAAUACGUAGGGUGCGAGCGUUAAUCGGAAUUACUGGGCGUAAAGCGUGCGCAGGCGGUUUUGUAAGACAGGCGUGAAAUCCCCGGGCUCAACCUGGGAAUGGCGCUUGUGACUGCAAAGCUAGAGUGCGGCAGAGGGGAAUGGAAUUCCGCGUGUAGCAGUGAAAUGCGUAGAUAUGCGGAGGAACACCGAUGGCGAAGGCAAUCCCCUGGGCCUGCACUGACGCUCAUGCACGAAAGCGUGGGGAGCAAACAGGAUUAGAUACCCCCGUAGUCCCUGUCUCUUAUAC